AUGAAUAGAAGGUGCUCCGAGUUGACGAAUUCCAGGUCGUUUCCGAUGGGCUGGGUUGUUCCUUGCCGCUGUAAUGGCGAACUGUCAGGUUAUUAUCCGUGUCAUCUUACUAUUCGUGCUCAGCCUGCUGCAUGCACAGGGUAUCUACAGUUGGACGUCGAGGGGACUGUUCUAGGAAUCCGAGGGACGAUGGCAUAUGGAGCAACUUCUUCUGUUUAUCUUUUUGGACAACAACUUUACAUGCUUCCGAAGACUCUAACUGAAGGUACAUACAUACAUACCUAUAUGAGGUAUCCAUGCCAAAAUAAAGUCAAGUACGUCAUGGAUUGGAUCCAUACCCAGCUUGGCCAUGAACCAACAUUCUCUCAAAAGCUUGGCGCCCCUUCCCUCUAA
rnacentral:rRNA from 1 species